rnacentral:snRNA from 1 species
CGUCCUCAGCGACGGACCGGGCCU